UUCCAAAAUACGCCGAGAGUAUUCCUGAUGGUGAAACGAGCGUUGCUUCAUCGAACGCAGCUAAAGAAAACAACAUCUAUGUAGUUGGUGGUACGAUGCCUGAAAUAGGGGGCGAUAAAUUGUACAAUACCUGUACUAUUUGGGGUCCCGAUGGAACUUUGAUAGCAAAACACCGAAAGGUACAUCUAUUCGACAUCGACAUUCCUAAUAAGAUUACUUUUCGAGAGAGUGAUUCACUCAGUCCUGGUAACUCCCUAACGACGUUCGAUGUGAAGGGCUGCAAAAUAGGUAUUGGCAUUUGCUAUGAUAUUAGAUUCGAGGAAAUGGCACGCAUUUAUCGGAACAAAGGUACAGUAACUUAAUCGAUCAAUACUUAACUAGCAAAAAAUUAAAUAUCUUUCUUAAAUAUAUUCUAUAUAAAAUUAAUAUAAUCUGUAACUCUGUAUAAAAAGAAGCUUAAUUUAAAAAACCAGUAUAUUUGCUGAAAAUGAAACAAAUAAAAGAAUUAAAAGCACAAUAAGAGGACUGUCCUCGCAUAUUCAGAAAUGAUGGAAUGUGAAUCGUGCAACUACGAAGUUAAUUGGUAUUCGGUGGCUUCAUAUUUCCUGCUUCUCUGGGUUAGGUUGCCAAAUGCUGAUAUAUCCAGCGGCAUUCAAUAUGACCACUGGACCACUGCACUGGUCAUUACUUCAGCGUUUCAGAGCGAAUGAUAAUCAAUUAUACGUUGCCUGCAUAUCACCGGCUCGUGUUCCUUAAGCAAGUUACGUCGCAUGGGGACAUACACAGUUGACCAAUCCCUGGGGAAAGAUUCUUUACGAUUUGGAAACUCAAGAGAAUAUGGCAGUCACCGAUAUCGAUCUAAAAGUUGUUGAGGAAGUAAGGGCUCAGAUACCUACAUUUUCUCAGAGACGUACAGAUUUGUACGACACUGUCUGUAAGAAGGAGUAACUCUACACUAAAACAGAAAAUGUUUUUUUAUAAUAUUUCUACUACGAUAUCCUUUUUUUGUGAAUUAUUACUAAUUUCUUAUCAUUUGUACUAAAUGAAUGACUCAAUUAAGAAAACCAAAACGUUAUAAAUAAUAAUCUGUAUAUCUUGUGUAUCAACAUGUAAUUGGAUAUUAUAAUAAUAUAGGAUAAUAAUAUAGGAGAAUAAUAAUAUAGAAAAUAAUACAUGCUUUUAAACACCUUUAAUAUCGAUCACAUAAAUUGUAAUAAUUCACAAUGAUCACGCAUACAUAAAAGACCCUUUGAUAGUAAAAUUUACGAUCAAAACGCAAUUACGUAUCGUUUAACAACAUUUAAUUUAUAACACCUUUUAAACAUUUAGACAGAUUAACACAUAACACUUCUUAUAUAGAAACAUCAAUUCGAAGUUAUCAGCUUGGAGAAAUUGGUCGAUUAAUACCUGUAGAUUGUCUGUCUCGAUGAAAGACUUAAAGAGAGCAAAAACAUGAUAAUGCCGCUAAUAUAAUAUUCCUUCUUUCUUGUAUCUGUCUGCCUCUCAGGUCGUUUUACUAAUUACAAUAAGUAAUUUCGCCUUCUUUGCGCUCUCUUUUAACGCAUUCGAGACCGAAAGAAAUUCAUAUCAGUCAGUAGGCAAGGGUAUAAUAUACAUAUUUUAUAUAUAACUUAUGUAGUAAUGUAUAUAUCAUGUUAAUUUCAUAUUUUUUUCAAUAUAGAAUUAUUAUAUAUAUAUAUUUAACUGUACAUAAUACAUUAUAGAAUAACGUAGUAUAUAAUUUUAUAUUUUAAAAAUAUGAGGCAUACUAUUCAAGAUUGUCGUCGAUUUAAAAUCAAAGUAUGAAAAGGAUACCCUGGAGAGAGUAAAACACAGAAUCAUUCUAACUAAACAUUCAGAUCGUACCGACACCUAGGUAUCGUCUUACAAUUAAAUCUCGGUCUCGAAUGGAUUAAAAUGAAAUACAUACUUGCAGCUUCAACAUCUUCAAUAUCGAGGAGAUUCAAACUUUACAAAUAAAAGCGGCCUGUUCCCCUUUCCACGACAGACUCUCAUACCAUAUCCGCUCUUAUCCAGGCUUUUACUUGAAACCAGCAAUGCGUUCAUUUACAAUUUAAAUUUACCCGGACCAUCCACUGAAUCGUCAGCCCUUUACAAGAAAUGAGAGGGAACGUUCGCCCUUGAACACAUAAAACAAAAAAAAAAAAAAAAAAAUAGAAAAGGAAAAAAACCACAAAUUUUAGUGAAGCUAUUUUAUUGAAACUUAUUAUAUCAUUUUAACAGCUAUAUAUAAAACGUUGAAUUAUUUCCUUUCGCGCUGAGCAAUUUUAUUUCAAAUUUCUAGCUUCAGAAUGAUAAUUACGUAUUUGUAAUUAUCAACAAGCUUUAAAAAUAUGGAAUAUUCAGCCAGAUGAAAUAUAGGUAAAGUAUUUAGAAGAAAAAAGAUUGAAAUGUUUUAUGUAAAACGAUUAAAUUAAGUGGAAAACUGCGCUUCUUCCUGCUCCUCUACAUGGCGCUACGCGGGACUCGCUUCUGAGCACGUCUUUCUCGUUGGAGGCUUCUUCUUUCUUUUCUUUCCCAGUAGAAUUUUUGCACAAUUCUUUCUCCCUUUUAUCAUUAAAUUACCUCUAAUUCUUAACAAUCUUUAAUCUUUGUCUCUUCUUCCCUAUAUAUAUAUUUUUGUUUACUUUUCUCCGUAGCGAAUUUUGUCUUUCUGACGCAGGAUUAGGUUCCUGGACUUAGGGAGUUGCUACACGCCAGCUCCACCAUGGCGACGGCAUUCACUAGGCAGCCUACAUAGCCACCUUUCAGCUCACGCUUCGGGACACUUUUUUCGCUGAGAUUCUCCGCGAUGAGGCAUGAAAGCAGAGACCACCGUCUGCGGAGGCAUGAUUAUUCUAUUGUUCCUUUUAACGAGUAAUCGUUUUACUCGAGUCCUCUCACUAAACCGUAAGUACGAAAGACUAUUAUACUUAGAUAGGUACUUGGUCUCAAGAACCAACUUAUUUUGGUCUUUCGAUUAAGUUCUUAAUUAAAUGCUCAAUUAGAUAUUCCUAAAUAUAUCUUCAUAAUAUUUCCCUCAUCUAUUUCUUUGACAUUCUAGCAACCUCGUUAAGACGUCCGCCACUUCAACUUCUAUCUACAAGUGGCAAAAACUGAAGCUGACCUUCUUCAUGGAGAAACAUGCCGGAAAUGGCAUCCGCACGUGUGAAUAAUUAUACUCAGUGUCCAGGUAGUUCUUUCGAUCAUCCGAUAGAAGUCGUUUCUGUUUUUCAGAGUUCGUUCACGUCUCCAGAAUGUAAAAAUAUCCAAGGAAGUACCAUUAGGAAGCAAUGAAAUUCAGAGUUUCUGUGGUUAUUCCUUUUUCUGAUUGUUUCUUUUCUUUGCCCAAAAUGGAUGAUUUCUAUAUCAAAUUGUUUAUUCGUAUUUUUUUUUUAAUAUUCCUUGAGAUUUUCAAUCAACUCGAUUUCGAAUUUUUUAGCACCCGAUCUUCUGGUUGACGUCGUUAAGAAAGAGGAACGAGUGCACAGGAAGCAUGGUCGGCGUGAGCAUGAUUAGAUCCGGUCUGCCCGAUGACCUUGCCAGUGAUAAUAGCGGUUCGUUAAGGUGGUUGCAGUCUUGAUUUGCUUCUGUUUCGAUUUCCAGCGAACUCGUCAGCCGGCAUGGCUUCCGAGAUGCUCCCCCUGAAACAAGUCGAAGGGAAAUAAUUAAUGGACUCUCUGUUCGAUUGUACGUGGAUGACAAGCUGACCGUAAAAAGAAAUAUACAAAUACGAUUAGAAAAUAUAAUCCGAACCCCUUUCGGUUUGAUCUGAAGGUUUCUUUUUCUAGACGGAACCAAAGAUUCUUAUCUGGUUUAUGGUGAGCUAAGGAACUCUUUGAAAACAGCAUUUAUAACUUUCGAAAAAGAGACAGGUAUUUCUUGCGCGAACAAUUGAAUAAUUAAUUCGUUCUCUAAAUAUCCUUAUUUGUUGUUCCUAAAAUACAUAAUGAUUGGAAGCUUCUUACGGGAAGCGCAAUCAGCCGCUGAUAUCAUUGAAGUCGAAACGCCAUUAAAACCAUAUUACGAUUCGCAUGCGACAUGCUCCAUUCAUGAAAACACAAAAGCAAUAAACAAGUACAAAUCAACGAAAUAAAUCCUCCGAGAACGAGACGUUACAGGAAUUAUACCAUUGCGAGGAUACAAAAGACUUGCUCAUGAGCUACUUCCUUCAAGUAGUCGAGCGGUGUAUUUUCCGGUCGUUAACUUCCAUAUAAUGGGAUAUUAAAGAGUACGGACACAACGCUGCUAUUUUUCAACUAUUCAUUAUCAAAUUACGCAGCGGGAAUCGUUGCAACGACAAAACUGUAACGACUCGUACCUGCGUAUCUUCCAUUUAGCUGCGGUAAACGCUGACUUGUCUGCGUUUUUUUUUUUCACUUCCUCGUUACGGAAACCAGGAAAAGUGAUUCACAAUACAGUUUCUAACUGUACUUCUCGCGAUUCUUUCUUAGAAACAAGCAAUUGCUUCUUUUCAAUUUCCUAAAUCUAUAAUAAAACAGUCCAUUCCUUGAAUAGAAAUUAACUUUAAAACUUUAGGCGCAUACAUUGUACGUAUCGUAUGUAUGUAUUUUGAUUUGAAAAGAAACGCGGCAAACGCCUUUGAAAAGACGUUAGGUUUUCAACACCUUAACUAACUUAAUUCCAGCGAGUUGCAAAUCUGCUGCAUCUCCAACAUCUGAAUAUCAAUCUUUUACAAUGA